UGCCUAGGAAUCUGCCUGGUAGUGGGGGACAACGUUUCGAAAGGAACGCUAAUACCGCAUACGUCCUACGGGAGAAAGCAGGGGACCUUCGGGCCUUGCGCUAUCAGAUGAGCCUAGGUCGGAUUAGCUAGUUGGUGGGGUAAUGGCUCACCAAGGCGACGAUCCGUAACUGGUCUGAGAGGAUGAUCAGUCACACUGGAACUGAGACACGGUCCAGACUCCUACGGGAGGCAGCAGUGGGGAAUAUUGGACAAUGGGCGAAAGCCUGAUCCAGCCAUGCCGCGUGUGUGAAGAAGGUCUUCGGAUUGUAAAGCACUUUAAGUUGGGAGGAAGGGCAGUAAGUUAAUACCUUGCUGUUUUGACGUUACCGACAGAAUAAGCACCGGCUAACUCUGUGCCAGCAGCCGCGGUAAUACAGAGGGUGCAAGCGUUAAUCGGAAUUACUGGGCGUAAAGCGCGCGUAGGUGGUUCGUUAAGUUGGAUGUGAAAGCCCCGGGCUCAACCUGGGAACUGCAUCCAAAACUGGCGAGCUAGAGUACGGUAGAGGGUGGUGGAAUUUCCUGUGUAGCGGUGAAAUGCGUAGAUAUAGGAAGGAACACCAGUGGCGAAGGCGACCACCUGGACUGAUACUGACACUGAGGUGCGAAAGCGUGGGGAGCAAACAGGAUUA
rnacentral:rRNA from 1 species